GUCAGUGACCAUACCGCCCUGAAUGCACCGCAUCUUGUCUAGUCUUGGAAGUUAAGCAGCGUUUGAUCUGGUUGACACGUGGAUGGGAGAACAGUAGGAUAAUUUUGUGUUUCCGCUA
rnacentral:rRNA from 1 species